rnacentral:rRNA from 1 species
AUUGAACGCUGGCGGCAUGCUUUACACAUGCAAGUCGGACGGCAGCACAGAGAAGCUUGCUUCUUGGGUGGCGAGUGGCGAACGGGUGAGUAAUAUAUCGGAACGUACCGAGUAAUGGGGGAUAACUAAUCGAAAGAUUAGCUAAUACCGCAUAUUCUCUGAGGAGGAAAGCAGGGGACCUUCGGGCCUUGCGUUAUUCGAGCGGCCGAUAUCUGAUUAGCUAGUUGGUGGGGUAAAGGCCUACCAAGGCGACGAUCAGUAGCGGGUCUGAGAGGAUGAUCCGCCACACUGGGACUGAGACACGGCCCAGACUCCUACGGGAGGCAGCAGUGGGGAAUUUUGGACAAUGGGCGCAAGCCUGAUCCAGCCAUGCCGCGUGUCUGAAGAAGGCCUUCGGGUUGUAAAGGACUUUUGUCAGGGAAGAAAGGGCUGUUGCUAAUACCGACAGCUGAUGACGGUACCUGAAGAAUAAGCACCGGCUAACUACGUG